UGGUGUCGGGCUGGCCACGAGCCAGCCCGGUGCAGAAGGGAAACCAUUAAGCCCGCCGCCUGGGGAGUACGGCCGCAAGGCUGAAAACGCCGUGCCGUUGGAGCUCAUUUCACAUAGUUUUUGGAUGUUUACCUCAAGUUUGUAAACACGUAUCCGACCGCACGGCGUCAGCAGACUUAAAGGAAUUGGCGGGGGAGCACCACAAGGGGUGGACGUUGCGGCUUAAUUGGAGUCAACGCCGGAAACCUUACCGGGGGCGACAGCAGGAUGAUGGCCAGGUUAAAGGCCUUGCCUGACGAGCUGAGAGGAGGUGCAUGGCCGUCGCCAGUGCGUGCCGUGAGGCGUCCUGUUAAUUCAGGCAACGGACGAGACCCGCGCCCCCAGUUGCGACCGGGCCGGAAGGCGCCGAGCACUCUGGGGGGACUGCCCCGGAAACGGGGAGGAAGGAGCGGGCCACGGCAGGUCAGUAUGCCCCGAAUCCCCCGGGCCGCACGCGACGUUCAAUGGUGGGGACAGUGGGCUGCGACCCCGAAAGGGGAAGCCAAUCCCUAAACCCCACCUCAGUAGGGAUCGAGGGUUGCAACUCGCCCUCGUGAACGCGGAAUCCCUAGUAACCGCCCGUUACCACCGGGCGGUGAAUACGUCCCCGCUCCUUGCACACACCGCCCGUCAA
rnacentral:rRNA from 1 species